rnacentral:lncRNA from 13 species
GGUUUCUACUAAGCAGCCAGAGACUCAUCUGCACGCUGCAGAAAUGGGAGCAGCCCAUAUUUGGAGUUGGGAAGAAGUUUAAUAAUAGCACACAAGCUUCCUCGGAAAGGGCUAGCCUAAAGGGGAACUGGUUAUUAGGAGAAAAAAAAGACACCCCUGUUUUUAUCCUCAGUCUAUAAUGAGCAAACCUCUCUUGUGUAUAGAGCAGCCUUCUAAUGUGAGUCACUCUAAGACUUGGCUUCUAACUGCUACCCCUGAGCCCAGGAAGCAGGAGCACAAUGGAGCAGCCAGGUGUCAAUUACAGGAGCCUGACAGGGCAGGAAGCAAGCUUCUGUCCAUUUGCCAGUUUUCAAGUGAACUUUGUUCAAGUAAGUGGAGUCCUGGGUUCCUUGGGACUUCAGGAGCUGACGGAGCAUGGAGGGGAGACCAGGACUCAAGAGCAAUCCUGGCAUGAAAAACUGAACAUCUCUGCGGUGACCACUGUGGAGUCCCAGCAGCUGGAAGGCGGGACACGAGACCAGCAACACUCAGACAAUACCUCCAAACCGGGCGGAAACACAGAUGCUUCCUUCACCACACUUGGCUGGGGAUUUUCACCAAACCGUGAGACGGUUUCUCCCUGUUGGCCCAGCUGGUCUCAAACUCCCGACCUCAGGUGA